UGCGAAAGCUGCUGUCCCUCGAAA
rnacentral:piRNA from 1 species